GAUGAACGCUGGCGGCGUGCCUAAUACAUGCAAGUCGAGCGAACAGACGAGGAGCUUGCUCCUCUGACGUUAGCGGCGGACGGGUUAGUAACACGUUGAUAACCUACCUAUAAGACUGGGAUAACUUCGGGAAACCGGAGCUAAUACCGGAUAAUAUAUUGAACCGCAUGGUUCAAUAGUGAAAGACGGUUUUGCUGUCACUUAUAGAUUGAUCCGCGCCGCAUUAGCUAGUUGGUAAGGUAACGGCUUACCAAGGCAACGAUGCGUAGCCGACCUGAGAGGGUGAUCGGCCACACUGGAACUGAGACACGGUCCAGACUCCUACGGGAGGCAGCAGUAGGGAAUCUUCCGCAAUGGGCGAAAGCCUGACGGAGCAACGCCGCGUGAGUGAUGAAGGUCUUCGGAUCGUAAAACUCUGUUAUUAGGGAAGAACAAAUGUGUAAGUAACUAUGCACGUCUUGACGGUACCUAAUCAGAAAGCCACGGCUAACUACGUG
rnacentral:rRNA from 1 species